ensembl:lncRNA
UUUUUUUUUUUUUCUUUUUUUUUUCUUUUUUUUUUCUUUUAAUGGAAGAAAGGGAAAAUAAAAUAGGCUGCUUGAGGGAAUAGCAGAAGUGGAAAGCUAGGUCUUGGCACUCUUUGACAAGUAAACCAUCAAGAUGAGAAAGUACUUUCUACCCCUGUGUAGCUUGUGGCAAGGUCCAUGGCACAGGUUUUGGAGGCACAAAUUUCAGUCCUUUUGCUGACCUAGCAACUGCCUGUGUCAGCCAUGGCUCUGCACCCCAGAAGAAGGCAGAGUCUCUACUGGAGGUGAGACUCUCAAGCAUUUGCAGCAGCUAGGUCUUGGGCUGCUGGAUAAGGAUUGUCCUGGUAGGGUAUGGGCCACACUGGGAAACAUCACAAAAGCACCUGACAACCUCUGGAUGUUUGUGCAUUGCAGCUCUCCUUCCUGCUUAGUUGGGAUGUGGAUUUUAUGUACAAGACUCAUCUCUCAUAAAACCGCGGAAAGAGCAGCUAUUUAGCUCUGCCUUGUACUCUGGUUUCGCAAAUUUACUAUUAGUUUUAUAGGUAGGCAAUAACUUUUAUUUUCUCAUUGGCGUGGUUACUUCAUUGCUGAAGAAAGAACAGAGUUGUAUAUGAAGUACUGGGUAAAGAAGAAGUCACUCAUGUUCAAGGCCCUGAUGAUAUAAAAUGUACGCAGAAAACUCCUCUGCUCACAUAAAAUACAGAAGGUUUAAAAAAAAAAAUCUCAUGUUUCCCUUUUAAAAAUUCAGAAUCUCUUAAACCAAGAAAAAUACACCCACGGGAAGGGAGUUCCAGUAAUAACAGGCCUGCUCUCACAUCUCCUGGAAAAAGAGAAACAAGCAGUAGUCUACCCUGAGGGAAGAGGGGUUCGGGAUGGUAAACAGAAAUGUUUAUGCUUGUGAAGAGCUAAAAGACUUCAUAGGCACCCUGCUUCCCCCUCAUAUCCUGAGCACUUCAGAGCAAUGCAUCAGCCCUGUAGCACAGGGAAACAGCCCAGAAAAGAGCUUGUUCUUCUUCAGGGAGACUGAGGAAACACCAGAACAGGGAUGUAUCUAAGUGUCAGCAGAUCUUGCCCUCCAAAAUUCCCAGUAGGAACUAUUUGCAUAUUCUUUCUGUGCAGAAGACCACUGGUUUUUCAAUAGCUGAAGCCUCCGCCUGCUCAGGUUGAAAACUACUGUUAGAUGAUUUUCUUUGUUAAAAUUAAGGUGACUCACAUAUAAAAGGAAUUAGAUGUGAAUCAUCACAUUGAUCAACCUUCCUGUUCUCAUUUCUGCAUUUGAAUAAUUUUGUUAAGCUUGCAUUAAAAACCUUUCUAUAAUGUGUCUUUUGGCUUAGCAUGAAAUAUAAUUAAUUAUCCUGCUCUAUGAAUAUCUAUUUUCUAUGAGAAGUCCUCUGGCAAAUGUGCCACAUAAUCUGCACAGGCAUUGAUCCUAAGUUAAAAGACAGCCUCAAAAUCUGAGUCAGCUCUUCUACACAUUAUUAAGUGUCCAUUUUGGUUAUGCUGUUGAUGGUUGCCAGUCCAAUUUCAUACCUGCCUAUCCCUUUUUUCUAGUCUUCCUAUCUUGCUGGCAGAAGACCACAUAGAUAAUCAGAGCACAACAUAACAUAUCUUUGUGCUUUGUGUCUGCCUUUCACUUGGCUUUCAUAUGGAUUUUAUCUCAUGUUUUACAUCAGGAGCACUUUGGUGAUUCAAUUCAGUUGAUGGUCUCUCUCCUAUCUCUCCAAUCCCAGCCAAAAUGAGUGGCUGAAAAUCUUGUACAGAGAAGCUGAACUCUAUAGUCCAAAACAAACUUCCUGACUGUUUUCACUAGGUGGAAAAUAAUCUACAACCAAAACAAAUCUGGUCUCAUGGCUAAGAGGCAAAUCUUUCCUCCCCUGCAGCCACAGUACAUCUUGACCACGGUGGAAUGACAACAAUUUUGCUGCAUGUGGUGAGGGAAGGAAGAACAGAAGGCAGUUUCCAAAGGGUGACCUCCCUUCUUUGCUCUACACAGCAAGGCAGAAAGAUCCCACAGUGGGAGGACACCCAUGAGGCUGGAGGUUUGCAGCCAUAGGAGAUCAUAGUCAGGCUGUGUUAUCGCAUCCAAAACAACUAAUCCAAAGCAUCCAAACUGCUGAGUGCCAGAAUUUCAGAGAUGUCAGAGAUGUCAGAUGACAAAGGGGAUGAGUGUCAGGACAAGGUAAGCAGGAGUCCAUUCAUUGCUUGGCAGAAAGUUGGGAUACAUCGGAAGAGUCCUUCCUUAGAAGAAAAACUGGUUUGCUGGAUAGUGAAGAAGGAGGUUCUCCUGUAACCUAAACGUGUCUAGCACAGACUCAUUGGGGAGCUUUAAGAGUCAUGAGACAAGGCUUGCCAUGAUCUGAGUCAGUUUGGUAAUCCCCACACUGCAGAUUACCACACAGACAUGCACCCAAAGCAGCAGAAAAAAUUGGAGAUUGCAUCCCUCAUGAACCACAGGUGCUCUCCAGAUCUUCCUGCUGCCCCAGAAAAUAAUGUCAUCAUGCCAAACCAGGCAAAGCAGAGGGUUUGACUGUCCUGUAUUGCCCAAUCUCCACCCACUCAGCUGAUGUCUCUCUGGCCACACUGGUGAAGAGAGUUGAGGGCUGGAUGGGUAUCUAUACAGGGGGAACAGGUUGGCAUGUUAGCCCAUGGUUACCUAGGAACAGCUGUGGCCUGGGGUGGUCUGUGAUGGGAUAGGCUGUCCCUAGGUGUAAUCCUAACAGCAGUGUCUGAUGGGAAAGCAGAUACCAUUCCAAUCCCCACCCCCCCCAGCAGGAGUUAGAUGAGAGGCACUCACUGGCCACUGGAAGUCAAUAGUGUUGGCUGAAUGAAAACUCUUAGAUAAUACUAAUGUGCUCAGCAGGGUGCUGAGAUUCACUGGCUGAUCUCAGCACCAUGUCUCUCACAGCAGCCCACAUGCUUCAGGGGAUAGAGGACACCACAUGGGAUUAUUGUAAUUAUGUUCUCUGGGGCAAAGGAUAUAUUUCUUACUUCUUCAGGUAGGAUCUCAUCCAGGCCAGGAGGUAUGAGUUGUAUCUGACCAAAUUAAAGAAAUGUUGUGAUUUGAACUGGGACUAUUCUGACAAAACUGGCUCGACUACCUUGACCUAUCCAUCUGAGGAUUCUGGCACUAGAGGAAAUAUUAUCUCAGUGGCUUCAAUUGAUGGGAACUGAGAGGAGGAGGAACACAGGAGGAAUGAAAGCUGGAAAAAUCCCUUCCUCCUUUCUCUUUCUGCAGGGACUGGCAGCCUAACUUAGAGAUUCUCUCCUGAAAGGAAAAGGGGAGGUUUGUCAAGACCUACUUUAGUCACUCCAUCUCCAUAACUUAAUUCUUUCAAAAGUUAGGCAAGUGCUGGGGCUGGGGACAAUGGUGCUCGAGCAGGAAAAUGCUGCUAGCUUUCUGCUCAUGUUGCAGAGUCCCAUUUACUCAGCGUGUGAGGAGUGAUUAAAGCAUUUUGCAUUUGAGAUGCUCCUGUGGGCAUGUGCUGGGAAUGACUCCUGCUCUAAUCCAGUAGCUGACACAGCAAAAUCUUACACUCCAUUGUUGUAAAUCAUUAAAUCAAAGUCACAAUCCAUUUGGAGUAACUCAUGGAAACUCAUCAUUAUUUUGCCACUGCUUGCUGAACUGCUUAGAUAAUCAAAAUGCCUGUGAGAACAGGGAAAAAAUAUCUCGUUCUUGGCCUAUAAGGUGCAAAGAGCAGUGACACACCCCAAGUGAGAAGCAGCAGGAUGUGUGGGAGCAGAGAAAGAGGACUUGGGACAAUAUGAGCCAUGAGACUCCCUAGAGUUCCAUGGACCUCAUCACAGCUAAGUAUAAUGUUUUCAAGGCAAGCUCUUACUUGCUCUCUCAUUUCAUUGCUAUGGUGCAAGGGAGGUAUGGAGGAAGGUAAUGUGAAUUAGUUCUUUUAAAUAUCCAGUAAAGGAAAAGCCCUUGCCAUGUUUUGGAAGCCAAACAUCCCUUAAGAUAGAGACAACAUAGGAUCCUUGGCCCAGAUGUCUGGGGAGACAUGGGAAGUUCUGUGAGACCCUGCUCGUUUUUCAACUUGGAAGUCUGGGAGUGGGCAGCAAAUUAAUGGAGAAUACUUCAUUUAAUUAAUGAGGAAAAAUGUGAAUUACUGCUGAAGUUUCCAUUCUGUACCAGCAGGAAGCCAUUUUUCUGCUCUGGCCAAAGAUAUUAAGGAAUAUUUGGCACAUAAGGACAGCACUGAUACUGUGCAUUUCUAUUACAUGGGCUUGAGAUUUAUGUAAUUUACUCAUUAAGGCUUGUUUCUGCAAACAUGUAAGUAGGUUAUCCACUUAUUCAGUAGUUCCUGUGAACAAUUUUGUGGAUUUAUGGAAACAUCCAUGUCAGACCCUCACAGCCCCAGAGGCAUCAAGGAAAAUGUACAACUGGAGUUUUGAAGAUUGACAUUAGUUGUGACACUUCCAAUAGGAAGGUAAAUGACAGCGUUUUUCAGUCAUGAUAAUUUACAAAGUGAAAAUGUCAAUGUAACCAAUAAUACUUGAAGCUAUUUUCUCAUGACUAAUUACACCUCUGAAAGUGAAUAUGUAGCUGCAGUUACGAAGUGAUGGGGCAAAGUCAAAGUCCCAUACAUAACACUUUAACCACAAUCAUCCUUUUUGCCAAUAGAAACCAUGGCCUUCCACAGCUGAAGUGUAUAAAAAAGCAUAAAGAAUAUAUGAAAGCAGUGACACUAUGGAAUUAUUCAGGUUCUAAACAAUCAUAGAGAGCAAAACAUUUGAAGAAGACAAGUCAUUUCAGAACUUAGCAGCUAAUUAAUUUUGACUCUCACGCUGCAUUUCUUAAGUUCCCACACGCAUUGUGUUUCUAAGGCUAAAUCCUGUAGGCCCUUAUCAGCUCACAUUUAAGGGUUAAUUUACAGAGCCUCUGUCCAGCAGAAUAUGGUUCACUGUUCUUUGCACAGCUGCAUAAAACACUGUAAAUGCUUUUCAGAAUAAAAAAGUUGGAGUAGAAAAUAAAAGGCAAAUCUUAGAGGAAGACCUAGACCACCUUUUAAGUGGUGAGGCUGGAUCCUGUGACAAUGAAAUAGCUGAACUAGAGGGUUAUAUAUAUUUACUCUGCCUGACUGAGCCAGUAAGGCAAAUGGAUAAACUUGUGUGUUCAUACAGCUUUGUAAUUUAUAUAUUCUUUCCCAAAUUCAUGUCUCUUACUGGCUGUGAAAUAUAAGCAGGUACAAAUGGUUAAACUCUUUUGUCCAAAUUCUGCUGUCAUCUACAUUCAUUAAUUUUCUAUCACCUGUACAGAACCCCCUGACCUAGCCUCUGAAAUGUGGCCUCUACAAGAUGCCCCUCAUGAGGCCCCUCUUGCUCCUUGGAAGUUGACCUUCUUUCAGAAGAGUCUAACAAAUACUUUCCAAAUUAGGGCUAUUUAACCACCCCUGCCCAGAGUCACAGAACAUAACUACCGACAUGAUUUAUCUGGAAAAUUUUCAACUCCUGAACAUACCGUGGCAACAUUUGCUGAUGGUAUUCUUAGCAUGCAUGGGAGGGAUGGGGCUUUUUGUUAAUAUGUAUUUCUAAGGUUAUGUAUGUAGGAUAUGAACUUUUCAGUUCCCUGUACUAAUGUUAACUAUGGGUUGGCAUGUUAGAAGUUGUCCUGAGUUUAUAAAAAUCAUAUGGCAACGACAUGAGGAAGGAAAGCCAAAAGGAUGCUGUAGCAGAAAAGGAAGUUAUUGGCUAAAACCGUUGUUGCUGACACUGUGUAGCAUGAGGGGAGCCCUCACAGCCCUGGAGACGUGGGGUGAAGCCACAUGCUGACCCAGUGACCCUAACUCCCAUCAGGGCAAUCCAGAGAAAUAUCUUGUCCUUCACCACAGCUCUGGAAUUAGAAAUGCAGAGGAAGAAGACCUACAGGAUUAACACAGAUGAAGACAGAAAAAUCUUCAGAUUUCCAAAUGUGGAGAAAAGAGACCUCAGCUACCUCCCAGUGCAUAACAAGUUCUGCCUUUCAUGACUGCAUCAUGACGAGCAUCUCAUAGUGCACUGCAAUUCUUCCCUGCAUGCAAGUUCAUCAAAAUGGCUACACAUGUGAUUUUGUGUGUGUUUCUCAGUUUAAGAUAAAACUACUUGCAUAAAUAAUCUUGUAAAACUUCUGGGGUUUUUAUCUCUUGUAUUUAUUAGAGCAUACUGACACCAUGAUAAUUAUAUCACUGCAAUUAUA